AUACUUCCCUGGCAGGGGAGAUACCAUGAUCAUGAAGGUGGUUUUCCCAGGGCGAGGCUUAUCCAUUACACUCCGGAUAUGCUGACCCUUGUAAUUUCCCCAAAUGUGGGAAACUCAACUGCAUAAUUUGUGGUAGUGAGGGACUGGAUUCGCGCUCUCCCCUA
rnacentral:snRNA from 1 species